ACGACAAUCUCGGCUCUCUAAGCUAAAAUCAUGUGUGGUAAUUUCUGCAACGGUCUCUAAACUGAGACCAAUGAAAUUACCUGUAUUUUUCACCUCCGGACGGGUGCUGUGAGCUUACUCAACCCCGUCCACGGGUCGGCCUCGUAUUGCAUUAUCUCAAGGAUUGGCUAGCCCCCA
rfam:Schistosoma mattheei strain Denwood, Zambia genome assembly, scaffold: SMTD_scaffold0006973